UUUUUUUUUUUUUUUUUUUUAACAAACGAGAAAACGGGAAACGACCGUUUUCUCGUUUCUGCGUAUUUCAUUUCAAAUUGGAAAACAAACUAUCAAAACGUACACGGACCGACACUGAUGAUGCAACAAAAAGUCUUCAUUUACAACAAAGGUACUUUGGGGCUGACAGACAGCCAUUGUGAAGGACACAAUCUGGCAAAAAUUUACCUGCAGAAGUGAAUGGGGGGAUAUGGGUACUUUGGGGCUGACAGACAGCCAUUGUGAAGGACACAAUCUGGCAAAAAUUUACCUGCAGAAGUGAAUGGGAGGAUAUGGGCUCUGAGGAAAAACUCUACACACAGACGCUCUACACACAGACAGCCCAAUGCUGCUAACUGGCAGAGCAGCUGGAAAACUAAAAGACAAGAAAACUAGAACAUUAAUACGGAUGACUGUAUUAUUUUUUCUGCAAGAACCAGGUCAAGCAAAGACAGUGAUGAGCACUCAGAGCAAACACAGCAGUCAGAUGCAGGAUUACACACUGGACUUUAGAGUUCUUCAACAUGUGAUGUUGGACAUUUACUGUUUCUAAAGCCAAUAAUUUAUGUGGAUGCCAUUAAUAGACCUGUUAGAUUUUGUUUUAUUUUUGAGAUUAAUAAAAUUGUAUGUUUUAACAAUGUUAUAGCUAAGCUUUUUCUUUCUUUCUUUUUUCUUUUUUGAAUAUUUAGGAGAACAUUCUGGGAACAAAAAUACAACUUCCUGCUAAAAAACUUUAUAAGAAUGUUAGGGGACAAUGUUCUAACAAUGUUAUGACUAAACAUUUAUAGAAGGUCAUCGCAAAACUUUUUUAGAGUGUUUUGUAGAGAAUGUUAUCUUACCUUUUAGAAGAACAUUCUAAGAACAAAAAUAAAAUUUCCCACUACAAACUUUAUAAGAAUGUUAGGGGAUAAUGUUCUAACAAUGUUAUGACUAAACAGUUUUAGAAUGUUUUAGAGAAUGUUAUCCUACCUUUAAGGAGAACAUUCAGGGAACUAAAAUAAAACUACCUGCUGAACAUUAUAAGAACGUUAGGGAAUAAUGUUCUAACAAUGUUAUCGCUAAACAUUUGUAGAAUGUUUUUAG